UGAUAUGUACAUCGAAUCAUAGGGUCUCAAACACCCGGGGGGUCGUAGCUUUCUCACAGUUGUAACAGAUGUGGAAACCUCAGAGUGUGUCAGAAGGUGGAGCUGUGUGCUUAAGUCAUGAAGAAAUCAUAAGACAGACCUCAUUUCUGACUUUUCCUCUUGCUGUCAUUUUCUUUAACCAUCAUGUUCUUCUGUGCUUUUCUGAUUCUUUCAGUAUUAACAGGUGACUCUUUUGAAAAUGUGAUAACAUCUCACUGGUCUGUUAAACAUGCCAGAGAUGGUGAGAGUGUUACUCUCUCCUGCAACUACCAUGUUUCUCCAUACAACCUGUUUUGGUAUCGUCAAUAUUCCAGAUCCAAACCAGAAUUCCUCCUUACCUUCACUGAAUCUGGAGAUCCUGUUAAAGCUGAUUCGGUGGCACGGUUAUCUGCUGUGGCUGAUAAAAACAGCACAGUUAUGAAUCUGAUAAUCUCCUCUGCUUCAGUACCAGACUCUGCUCUGUACUACUGUGCCCUGACGCCCACAGUGACAGGAAACCCAGCUACACUGUACAAAAACACUGUGUGGAAUGGAGCUCUGCACUUGAUCAUGUAUUUUUUGUUUGUAUACAAUGUGUAACUUGUUGACCAUUGUUCCAUGAAAAUGGUGGUUUAAAAACCUACCAAUUCCACUGGACUACCAAUGGAAUCGCUGUUGCUGUUACAAGUAGUUAAUGACCUACAUUUGCUGUGACUCUUACCUGCCUGAAGUCACUUUUGUUUUGUCUCAGAGAGCAUUAAAAUAAGUAUUACAAAAUAUUUAGACCCAUCAUGCCUAAAUCCAGAUCAGACUUCUGCUUAAAGCUAUACUAAGUAAAGCUUUGAGAUUUGUAGACCUCUCUCAUGGAAAUGUGUAAUUCCACACAAAGCAGUAGGACAUUUUGUAAUAUCAUUUGUACUUCAGAACCCACCAACCCAUCAUGCAGAGUGACAGAGGGCCAUCCUACCCACACAGAGAGAGUGAAACCAGUUGUGAUCUCUUUGACUCCUGGUCACAGACAGCUAUAGUAUCACCAGGGAUCAGACUCAUGAUCAUCUGAUGAUGGAGCCAUCACUUACAGGGUUUCACCACAGAACAGAUGACAUAGGUUAGCCCU